rnacentral:rRNA from 1 species
AUGAACGCUAGCUACAGGCUUUACACAUGCAAGUCGAGGGGCAGCAUGGUCUUAGCUUGCUAAGGCUGAUGGCGACCGGCGCACGGGUGAGUAACACGUAUCCAACCUGCCGUCUACUCUUGGCCAGCCUUCUGAAAGGAAGAUUAAUCCAGGAUGGGAUCAUGAGUUCACAUGUCCGCAUGAUUAAAGGUAUUUUCCGGUAGACGAUGGGGAUGCGUUCCAUUAGAUAGUAGGCGGGGUAACGGCCCACCUAGUCAACGAUGGAUAGGGGUUCUGAGAGGAAGGUCCCCCACAUUGGAACUGAGACACGGUCCAAACUCCUACGGGAGGCAGCAGUGAGGAAUAUUGGUCAAUGGGCGAUGGCCUGAACCAGCCAAGUAGCGUGAAGGAUGACUGCCCUAUGGGUUGUAAACUUCUUUUAUAAAGGAAUAAAGUCGGGUAUGCAUACCCGUUUGCAUGUACUUUAUGAAUAAGGAUCGGCUAACUCCGUGCCAGCAGCCGCGGUAAUACGGAGGAUCCGAGCGUUAUCCGGAUUUAUUGGGUUUAAAGGGAGCGUAGAUGGAUGUUUAAGUCAGUUGUGAAAGUUUGCGGCUCAACCGUAAAAUUGCAGUUGAUACUGGAUGUCUUGAGUGCAGUUGAGGCAGGCGGAAUUCGUGGUGUAGCGGUGAAAUGCUUAGAUAUCACGAAGAACUCCGAUUGCGAAGGCAGCCUGCUAAGCUGCAACUGACAUUGAGGCUCGAAAGUGUGGGUAUCAAACAGGAUUAGAUACCCUGGUAGUCCACACGGUAAACGAUGAAUACUCGCUGUUUGCGAUAUACGGCAAGCGGCCAAGCGAAAGCGUUAAGUAUUCCACCUGGGGAGUACGUUCGCAAGAAUGAAACUCAAAGGAAUUGACGGGGACCCGCACAAGCGGUGGAGCAUGUGGUUUAAUUCGAAGCAACGCGAAGAACCUUACCAGGUCUUGACAUCCUUCUGACCGCACCUUAAUCGGUGCUUUCCUUCGGGACAGAAGAGACAGGUGGUGCAUGGUUGUCGUCAGCUCGUGUCGUGAGAUGUUGGGUUAAGUCCCGCAACGAGCGCAACCCUUGCUAUUAGUUGCUACGCAAGAGCACUCUAAUAGGACUGCCGUUGACAAAACGGAGGAAGGUGGGGAUGACGUCAAAUCAUCAUGCCCCUUAUGAUUUGGGCUACACACGUGCUACAAUGGCGUAAACAAAUAGAGGCGAGACCGCGAGGUGGAGCAAAUCUCAAAAAUAACGUCUCAGUUCGGACUGCAGGCUGCAACUCGCCUGCACGAAGCUGGAAUCGCUAGUAAUCGCGAAUCAGAAUGUCGCGGUGAAUACGUUCCCGGGUCUUGUACACACCGCCCGUCACACCAUGAGAGCCGGGGGGACCCGAAGUCGGUAGUCUAACCGCAAGGAGGACGCCGCCGAAGGUAAAACUGGUGAUUGGGGUG